AAAUUGAUGGCAAGUUUGGGGUAAAUUCCCUUA
rnacentral:sRNA from 1 species